rnacentral:rRNA from 1 species
GAUGAACGCUGGCGGCGUGCCUAAUACAUGCAAGUCGAGCGAACAGACGAGGAGCUUGCUCCUCUGAUGUUAGCGGCGGACGGGUGAGUAACACGUGGAUAACCUACCUAUAAGACUGGGAUAACUUCGGGAAACCGGAGCUAAUACCGGAUAAUAUAUUGAACCGCAUGGUUCAAUAGUGAAAGACGGUUUUGCUGUCACUUAUAGAUGGAUCCGCGCUGCAUUAGCUAGUUGGUAAGGUAACGGCUUACCAAGGCAACGAUGCGUAGCCGACCUGAGAGGGUGAUCGGCCACACUGGAACUGAGACACGGUCCAGACUCCUACGGGAGGCAGCAGUAGGGAAUCUUCCGCAAUGGGCGAAAGCCUGACGGAGCAACGCCGCGUGAGUGAUGAAGGUCUUCGGAUCGUAAAACUCUGUUAUUAGGGAAGAACAUAUGUGUAAGUAACUGUGCACGUCUUGACGGUACCUAAUCAGAAAGCCACGGCUAACUACGUG